UAGCUCAAUGGUCGAGCGUUGGCUUUGGAAACCUCAGGUCGGUGGUUCAAAUCCACC
rnacentral:tRNA from 1 species